UACGUAGGGUGCAAGCGUUGUUCGGAAUUACUGGGCGUAAAGGGCUCGUAGGCGGCCAACUAAGUCAGACGUGAAAUCCCCAGGCUCAACCUGGGAACUGCGUCUGAUACUGGAUGGCUUGAAUUCGGGAGAGGGAUGCAGAAUUCCAGGUGUAGCGGUGAAAUGCGUAGAUAUCUGGAGGAACACCGAUGGCGAAGGCAGCACUCUGGGCCGGUACUGACGCUGAGGAGCGAAAGCGUGGGGAGCGAACAGG
rnacentral:rRNA from 1 species